CCCCUCUCAGAGUCGCACCUGGAAAGUUUCCAGUACUCUACCAGUCUCGAUUACGGGAGGGAGAGUCAAACAGAGGCCUACCCAUUCCAUUCCUAGCUUGGCCAGUGGCAAGAGAGUGGAAGGUAAUUUGCUAUAAAC
rnacentral:snoRNA from 1 species